rnacentral:rRNA from 1 species
CCUACGGGUGGCAGCAGUGAGGAAUAUUGGUCAAUGGCCGGAAGGCUGAACCAGCCAUGCCGCGUGAAGGUCAGUGCCCUAUGGGCGUUAAACUUCUUUUGUGUGGGAGCAAUAAUGGUCACGUGUGGCCAGACGAGAGUACCGUACGAAUAAGCAUCGGCUAACUCCGUGCCAGCAGCCGCGGUAAUACGGGGGAUGCAAGCGUUAUCCGGAUUUAUUGGGUUUAAAGGGUGCGUAGGCUGUGAGGUAAGUCAGCGGUGAAAUGCCCCCGCUCAACGGGGUGAAGUGCCAUUGAUACUGCCUGGCUGGAAUGCGGAUGCCGUGGGAGGAAUGUGUGGUGUAGCGGUAAAAUGCAUAGAUAUCACACAGAACACCGAUUGCGAAGGCAUCUCACGAAGCCGCGAUUGACGCUGAUGCACGAAAGCGUGGGUAUCAAACAGGAUUAGAUACCCCUGUAGUC